rnacentral:rRNA from 1 species
AUUGAACGCUGGCGGCAGGCUUAACACAUGCAAGUCGAGCGAGCGGCGGACGGGUGAGUAAUGUCUGGGAAACUGCCUGAUGGAGGGGGAUAACUACUGGAAACGGUAGCUAAUAACGCAUACCAUCAGAUGUGCCAAGCUGGGGUGGGAUAGGAGGUGGGGUAAUGGCUCACCAAGGCGCAGAUCCCUAGCUGGUCUGAGAGGAUGACCAGCCACACUGGACCUGAGACACGGUCCAGACUCCUACGGGAGGCAGCAGUGGGGAAUAUUGCACAAUGGUCGCAAGCCUGAUGCAGCCAUGCCGCGUGUGUGAAGAAGGCCUUCGGGUUGUAAAGCACUUUCAGCGAGGAGGCGUUACUCGCAGAAGAAGCACCGGCUAACUCCGUGCCAGCAGCCGCGGUAAUUC